rnacentral:misc_RNA from 1 species
GGGUUUUUUUUUUUUUUGUAAUUUCAAGGUAACCCAAUUGAGGAAUCGGUUUAAAACUUAGAGAGAUGUAGAGAAGGUUGGGAUUUGUGGGUGUUUUCUAUUUUUUCCGGUAAAAGUUAGGAUGGGUUAGAAUACAACUUUUUCUUAUUUUCUCUUUAGAAAUCAAACCAAGGUUUAAUCACCUCAAGAUUUCUCAUUUGUUCUUGUUAGGCCUAUUGUUCUUUUUCCCUGAUUUGAGAAGUAAAUGACUUAUAGCUGAUAUUUCAGCUCUUAUAUUAACUUUUUCAAAAUUGUAUUAUCUCGAUAAAUUUUCUAUGUUGAAACCGUAAUUAGGAUGUAUUUUGUUCUUUUUCCUCUGUUCUGAUCUUUCUUAAGUAAACCUCUCUAAUUUUGUUAGUUUCUCGGUUAGCCAUUUAGGUGGUACAAUACAAAAUGGACAACAGAUGGUACAACGAUGAACUGGAAAGAAAUGGCCAAUACAAAAGUCAACAAGAUAAGGAGCAGCUAAGCAAAAGUGUGAUUACCAGGAUUCUCUAAUCGAGGAUUUGGUGGAAGAUUUUCGCUUGCCAAUUAGUCACAAACCCACAGAAAAUGUCGAUCUGGAUAAUGUUGAGCAGGCAUCUCGGGACACAAAGUUGACAGCAUCUAAAAUUGGGUUCAGGCUUCUUCAGAAAAUGGGAUAGAAAGGGAAAGGUCUUGGAAAAGACGAGCAGGGUAUGCUUGGAAUCUGGAUAUUCCCUCAACAUAUUUGUAUGCUUUGUUGUGUGAUUUUAUGUUAAAAUGGUUGUGUUAUGUGACUUCUCUGCAAUCUAUAUUUCCUUGUUCUGGAAACUACUGUCCUUUUUUUGCCUCUUGGAUAAACACAUGAAGAUCACUCUGAAGGGAUGUAUUCUCUUCUGAUGAAAAGUGGGAUUUUCUCAUUUUAAUGAUAUCGGAGGCUUUUCAAUUGAUGACUUCUUUGACCUAUCUUAUUAUGAAUUUCCCAACUCUUUGGGUUUUUUUGUUUAGGAAUAGUGGAGCCAAUAAAAUCUGGGAUUAGAGAUUCAAAGUUAGGGAUUGGAAAACAAGAAGAAGAUGAUUUUUCACUUCUGAAGAAAAUAUUAGAGGAAAAAACUGGAUGUUGAGAUUGAGGAAACAGAGGAACAAGUGAAGAAACAGGAGGAAUGUUAUAUCCUACGGGAACAUCAACUUUGGAAGCUGUUGACAAUUUCUUGUAGUUUUUAAUACCUGGUGGCUUCUACUGCCUACUUCGUGCACAUUAUGAAAAUUCAGGUGUUAGCAGAACGGAAGCAGAAAAUUCAAACUGAGGUGAAAAGAAAUAAGGAAGGUGUUUUAUUGUGAUCUCUGCAACAAACCUAAGUUCAUAUGAUCACAAUCACAGAAAGCGUUUUAAAGAAAUGAAAGAGAUGCAUGGUUCUAGCAGUCGUGAUGAUCGGCAAAAGCGGGAACUGCAACGACAAGAGAGAGAGAUGGCUAAGUUUGCUCAGAUGGCAGAUGCUCGUAAACAGCAACAGCAACAGCAACAGCAAGUCUCCUUCACCGUCGAACAGCUCGUAGCCGUCAAUCCUUACAAUCCAGACAUCCUUCCAGAUCUCGAAAACUAUGUUAACGAGCAGGUUUCUCUCUAUUCUCUUUCAAUGGUGGCUUAAUUAUUGAUCGUGAUUGGUUCAUUCCAUUUCAAUUUGAUAAAAUUCUUAUAUGGGUUUGUUAAUUGAUGCUUAAGUUGCUUUCUUUUUGUCGUUUGGUUUCUGAGAAAAUGAAAGAAAAUCAAAAGUGAAAUUCAAAAAAUAACAAUUAAUUUUUAUGGACUAAGUUGGGUUUUUGUUCUAUGUACGUAUCAAGCUAUGAAAAUUUUAAGUUGCAAAAAUGACAAGAAUUAAGAUUUUUUUUUUUGUAAUUGUAAUACAUUUUUCUCGCCAAUUUACAGAGUGGUGCUUGCUCAUUUCAGUGUGCUUCCUGAUUUUGUCUCCAUUCUUUUUCCCUAUUUGGAAUGUUUAUUGUUUGAUCUUGAUAUUUGCUCUUAAAGCCUCCCUUGCUGAAUUUUGGUGCUCUGUGGAGUUGCUUUUGCAUCGAAAGAUGCAGAUACUGGUUCCCUGGCUAGUAGGCUGAAGAUGAGGUUUCACUUUUUGGCUGAUAUCGGUUUUGAUAUAUCUGUGAGCCUGAGCUCUGAAGUUCUUUUUGUCCAAUCUUCAAACUUCAAUCCCUAUCGCUGAUUCUACCUACUGAUGGGUGGCACUGUUAACCAAACAAAUGAGAUUGUUCGAUUUUUAUGCUUGAGCCUUGUAAAGUUUAGCAAAUUGCAUCAUGGAGGCUGCAAUUUCAUAAAAUCGAGAAUACUUUCAUGUCUUCAUUUUUUUAAAGUUCACCGAAGAUAAACAAAAAAUUCCUUGACAUAAAGAAGUAAGACAGUAGGGAUGGCCACCUGGAUAGUGUGAUGGGAACACUGAAAAGCACUCAGGAUAGAAAACCAAGAAAAUUUACAAUUAUAAUACCCCAUAGAAGAUAUGUAAAUAAAAGCUUUAUCCAUUAUAGGUAAUAGUUACAAAUCAUAAUAACCAUUUUUAUAAGGCAUACAGAAAAAUUGAAAUAGGUGAAAAACACCAUAUGAAGUCAUAACCAAUCAAGUUAUGUGAAUUUGUUUAUCAUUUGUCUAAUUGUGAAUAUAUAAAAUAUAAGGUGGAACAACCUCAAUGAAUUGGAGGUAUAAUAGAGCAGCAAAAUAAUAAAACAAACAAUGAAAAUUUCAGAAAUACAAAUAGAAAAAGGAAAGCAAAAGCCUAAUUCCCAUAAUUUUUACAAUUGAAGAGGUUAGUGCCUGUGGCUUGAAGCUUGGGGACUCUAUUCAUGUGUUUGUUGUUAUUGCAAUUUACCUGUUUAACAAAAUUGCCAAGAUUAAAAGGAUUUUUUUGUAUCAGGUUUCAUCACAAACAUACAGUCUGGAUGCAAAUCUAUGCCUUCUUCGCCUCUAUCAGGUUUUUUUUUUCCCCCUCAUUAAAGCAAUACAAUUUUUCUAUUUGGUUCCGUUCAUUUGCAUCCUUUACUCAUUUUUGGGGUGUUAUUGGUACAUUUAACUUCAGUUAGACAUUAAAUGAGUAGAUGCCUUACUGAGUAUUAGGAUGCAUUAUGUUUCUUGUUGCAGUUUGAACCAGAGCGACUGAGCACCCAAAUUGUUGCUCGCAUUUUGGUUAAGGUCUGGUUAAGCCGUUGCGUAAAAUGCCUUUAAAUGCUUUUGCAGCUCAGUGGCCUAAGAUAUCUUUCUAAUAUUUGUUUUGGCUUUCUUUUUACCAGGCACUAAUGGCAAUGCCAGCUCCAGAUUUUAGUCUAUGUCUAUUUUUGAUUCCUGAACGAGUGGUAUCAUUCUGUUAAUUUGUCCUUACUUUUGGCACAUUCAUAUGCAUUCAUUUAGUCAUUCCAAAGGCAUUUUCCACAACGAGUACUAUAGUUUAUUCAGUGUAUGGAUGUGGAUUAAUGCAAAUGUGCACUUGUGUGGUUGGUUGAGGGGUGUGGAGAGCUUGGAAGGGGAAGUAUUUUUGGGUUUACGUUGCCAAUUUGUCAUUCUGAAAAGUUUUUCAGUUUUGAGCUGGUGUUAAGAGUUCAAUUGUUUACUUUGUCAAUAUUGUUACUAUACCUGAUAUGCAUCUGCCCUCUUUUGUCUUUCAGCAAAUGGAGGAACAGUUCAAGACGUUGAUAGUUCUCUCACAUUAUUUGGAGACAGGGAGGUUCUGCCAAUUCUGGGAUGAAGCAGCUAAGAGUCGCCACAUAGUUGAAGCAGUGCCAGGUAAAAAAAUGAACUGUGAUAGCUGCUGCUGCUCUCACUGCAUACAUCUUCAUGGUUGCUGUUGUACAAUUGGACAUAUCAUGUUCAAGGAUUAAUGUUUUGGAGAAUGAUUAUUAUAUUUCUAUAGAUUACAGAAGGUUGAAUUUUAAGGGAAAUUUGACAAGGUUUUAAGAAUUUGAUAGUUAUAUGGCAUUGGGGCUUAAUCAUAUUUACAAUGGAAUACCUUUGGCACAUAGAUCAGACCAUUCAUUUGGCUGGUGUGAUUUCUACUUAAUAUUGAUCCAGGUUAGAGUGUUCACUACAGUUGUUUAUUAAUGCAUUAUAUAGUGAAUUAAGGAGUAUAACUUACCUUGCUGUUGCUUUCAUUUCAUUCUUGGAAUUAUACAGUUGCUAUAAUUGACAUUGUCCUGCAUUGUCUGUUUUGUUUUGAGUGUAUGUGUAAAUAUGAUUGUGGCUUACAAGAGGACAAAGUGCAGGUUUUGAGCUAGCAAUCCAAUCAUAUGCUAUUCAUCUGCUUUCCUUGACUUAUCAAAAGGUUCCCCGGUCUGUGCUGGCUGAGGCUAUCAACAUUGAAGGUCUGUCCUUGGACAAACUCCUUGAACAGCAGAUAACCAAUUGUGGUUGGAGUGUAGAGAAAGGGCAUGUUAAGGGCCAACUCAUUGUUCUACCCAGCAAUGAAUUUAACCAUCCUGAGCUGAAGAAAAAUACUGCAGAUGGUAUACCAUUAGAGCACAUCACUCGAAUCUUCCCCAUUCUUGGCUGAACUUUGUAGGGGUAGGAUUAUUUGAAUUUGUUCUCUGUUUUCAGCAGUUGCUUUGGGUUCUGUUACUCGCCAAUACUUAGUUGUGCUUAGGGGCUGCAGUAACCUCUUCUGUUCUUAUAUAUAAGAUCAAGUCCAAACACUGUAGCAGAAUUGAGAAACCUGAUGAUUCAAUUGUUUCAAUUCACCUCGAAAUUUUGCACUAA